rnacentral:rRNA from 1 species
UACGAAGGGGGCUAGCGUUGCUCGGAAUCACUGGGCGUAAAGCGCACGUAGGCGGCUUUUUAAGUCAGGGGUGAAAUCCUGGAGCUCAACUCCAGAACUGCCUUUGAUACUGAGGAUCUUGAGUCCGGGAGAGGUGAGUGGAACUGCGAGUGUAGAGGUGAAAUUCGUAGAUAUUCGCAAGAACACCGGUGGCGAAGGCGGGUCUCUGGGCCGAUACUGACGCUGAGGAGCGAAAGCGUGGGGAGCGAACAGG